rnacentral:rRNA from 1 species
UACGUAGGCAGCGAGCGUUGUUCGGAAUUACUGGGCGUAAAGCGUGCGCAGGCGGUUCGUUGUGUCGGCGGUGAAAGCCCCGGGCUUAACCUGGGAAUGGCCGUUGAAACUGGCGAACUGGAGUGUGGCAGAGGGGGGUGGAAUUCCGCGUGUAGCAGUGAAAUGCGUAGAGAUGCGGAGGAACACCGAUGGCGAAGGCAGCCCCCUGGGCUAACACUGACGCUCAGGCACGAAAGCGUGGGGAGCAAACAGG